rnacentral:rRNA from 2 species
UGCCUGGCGGCCGUAGCGCGGUGGUCCCACCUGACCCCAUGCCGAACUCAGAAGUGAAACGCCGUAGCGCCGAUGGUAGUGUGGGGUCUCCCCAUGCGAGAGUAGGGAACUGCCAGGCUG